rnacentral:sRNA from 1 species
GCACCAGGAUCAUUUUCCGUCCAGUUCUCGUAGCCCCUUCUAAAUUUAUUCCU